UCAUGUUUCUUUUUACAGAGAUUUAUCUUUUACCCACCACAAGUACCACCAUUUUUCCCUCAGGUCCUCUUUCCCCUACCUCCGCAACCGCCCCUGGUCCUCACACCUAAUGAUCUUAUCGCGUUACUCAUUGCUAUUUUGAACCAACUAGGGAUUUUAUUUCCAUGACUAAAUUGAUAAAGGUAAGUUAUAUUCAAUGCCACGAAAGGUAAGAGAAACUCUUUGUAACUAUAAAAAUAUGAGAGUCAACCUCAACUGAUCUACCAAACUAGAACUCAUAAGUUAUAAACUCAUUUCCUCCAAAAUCUUUACAUCAAAAUUUUUGCCAGUCUAAAAAGGUAUUUUUUAAUAAUGUCCUUGAUAUUUCACAAAAUUUAAAUUUACAGGCAUAUAUGCAAUAUGAAAUUUCAAACAACAAAGUUUGCUUCAGGCUUUUUUUUUUUUUUUUUUGAGGAGUCUUGCUCUGUCACCCAGGCUGGAGUGCAGUGGCGUGAUCUCGGCUCACUGCAACCUCUGCCCCCCCAGGCUCAAGCGAUUCUCCUGCCUCAGCCUUCCUAGUAGCUGGUAUUACAAGCAUGUGCCACCACACCUGGCUAAUUUUUACAUUUUUAGUAGAGACGGGGUUUCACCACAUUAGCCAGGCUGGUCUCAAACUCCUGACCUCAAGAGAUCCACCCGCUUCAGCCUCCCUAAGUGCUGGGAUUACAGGCGUGAGCCACUGUGCCCAGGCUUUCAGGCUUAUUUUUGUCUUAUAGGCAAUUCAUAGUAAAUAAUGAGAAAAGCCUACUGUAAAACUGCCACACCUAGAAAUGGACUGAUCUCAAGGCAAGGUAACACAUCUUAACAAAAAGCAUUAACUUGCUGGAUACAAAGGCUACAAACUUUGACUUCUACUUUGACUUUCACUGAAGUUUGCUUUCAUGUAAAAUACAUACCAAAAAAAAGAAAGAAAGAAAGAAAGAAAGAAAGAAAAACGUGGAGACCAAAAAGGUAUAUAUCCCUUUUGUUGUUCUAAUAUUUUUAAGAAACAGGAUCUUGCUAUGUUGUCCUGGCUGGACUACAGAGGCUAUUCACGGGCCCAAUCAUAGUGUAUGUACUACAGCCUUGGAGAAAGAAACUGGAUUUCCACCCAACUGCUUCUCUCCUAACAAGUUACAUUGCCCUGAAGUGCUUAUUUAGUACCUUUUACCAUUUCAAAUACUUAGACUAUCUGAGGCCAAGUGGGAGAGAUUAAGCUCUAUGCUGUAAACAGUUAAGGAUUCAAUUUAUCAGCAUUUAACAGUUCCACAUUAUUUUCCACCUCCAACAUACAUGAUUAUACCAAUAUUAACACAUCAGCAAUAAAAUAACCAUAAAAUGGGAGGCAUGGGUGAAGAAGGAAUUGUGGUGAAAAUAUCUUCAUAUAAAUUAUAACUAUAAUCUGUAUUAUCUAUUUUGACAGAAAUAAUUCUCCCACUACUAUGCCAGAAGUUACGUAUGGUUAGUAAAAUCUCCAAAUUCUUUCAUGCAUUUAUAUCCUUUUCAAUAUUUUUAUCAUGAGUUUAAUUGCCUCUGAUUGUGUCCACAACGGUAAAUUAAUAAUAUGAUGAAAAUAGGUGUAAACAAGACCAAUUAAUUACAAAUGCUUUCUUCAAAGGAUGUAUUUUAAAGUCAGUUUAUUAAAACUCCAGAAAUAUUUUAGAAAAUAACCACCACCAGAAGUCCUAAGCAUAAGAAAACAUACUGUUAAAUAAGAAUAGCCUCUCGAAGUGCUCAGAAUUUUCAAGUUCCCCCUUUAGCCACCAAAUAUUUAAAGUAGUUAUGAUCCUAAGGAAACUUUGCAUAUCCUUCUAUUUGAGUUUGAAAUGCUUUCAAAAGCUCAAGAACACCUGCUGACAAAACAAACACUGACUGUGGCCCUUUAUCCUUAGGUUAUCAUCAAAUAAACUAUCUUUGGGCCAAAAUUACACAAACAACUUCAACAAUGCUAGCCAAAUCAGGUGUGGCCCUUAAAUUUCAACUCACAAAUCAUAACUGCAAUACUAUGAAUAACAUGAGUACUACUUAUGUUACACAUAAUCUUCCAAGCUGCAUACUUAAAUAAUGUAUCAUAAAAGACUCUUAACCUUAGUAGGGAAUACAACAGACAGAAUAGCUUUGCAACCCAGUCAGACCAUGAUUCAAAUCCCAACUCUACUAGCAAAUAAAACUGCGGGCAACCUUUCUAAAUAUCAAUGUAUUCAUUUGUGAAAUGGGAAUACUACUACCUAACAGGAUGUGGAUAGAAUUAAGAAAUAUAAUAGAUACUCAGUAAAUGGCAAAUAUUAUUACUUAUUUUACUAAAUGUCUCUAAAAUAAAAAACAUUCAUUUUACAUAAGACAUAAGGAAAAUAAGUAUGAAGGGAAUAUUACCUAGUGAUAUAGCAGAUAGAUCUUCCUCUAGGAAUAUCUGAAACUAACAUUUUGUUUUUUCCCUAUUAUAGAUGGUGCUGGAUAUUUACAGUUAUCAGAAGAGUAUCUACUUCUAUCUUAACUAUAGUUGAUGGUAGUUUUAUAAUUUUGCAUACUUUGUGCAUGUUCCAGUGAAAACUCCAAAAAACCAUAAAGAAUGUAUCUAGACCAUGGGCUUUAGUCAUACUUUAAAUAAACCUUUAAUAUAACCAAAUGUCUUUAUUAAUGGCAGUUCAAAUGUAUCAAAACUAUUAAACAGGCUGGGCAUGGUGGCUCACACCUGUAAUCCCAA
rnacentral:lncRNA from 10 species